GUCCAGACCCAACACGUCGCCAGUCCAUUCCCCUCCAAAGUGCCGGUAGAAUUCAGCAGGUCAGCCAUCCGUGGUGGGGUACGGAUGGAGAAAUGGAGAGACCCAGG